rnacentral:tRNA from 1 species
GCCCGUGUGGCUCAGUGGAUAGAGCAUCGGCCUGCGGACUGAAAGGUCCCAGGUUCAAUUCCAGUCAAGGGCA